ACCUACGGGGGGCAGCAGUGGGGAAUAUUGCACAAUGGGGGAAACCCUGAUGCAGCAACGCCGCGUGAGUGAAGAAGUCAUUCGUGAUGUAAAGCUCUAUCAGCAGGGAAGAAAAUGACGGUACCUGACCAAGAAGCCCCGGCUAACUACGUGCCAGCAGCCGCGGUAAUACGUAGGGGGCAAGCGUUAUCCGGAUUUACUGGGUGUAAAGGGAGCGUAGACGGCCGUGCAAGUUUGAUGUGAAAACCCGGGGCUCAACCCCGGGACUGCAUUGGAAACUGCAUGGCUGGAGUGUCGGAGAGGCA
rnacentral:rRNA from 1 species